GACGAACGCCGGCGGCGUGCUUAACACAUGCAAGUCGAACGGAAAGGCCCUGCUUUUGUGGGGUGCUCGAGUGGCGAACGGGUGAGUAACACGUGAGUAACCUGCCCUUGACUUUGGGAUAACUUCAGGAAACUGGGGCUAAUACCGGAUAGGAGCUCCUGCUGCAUGGUGGGGGUUGGAAAGUUUCGGCGGUUGGGGAUAGACUCGCGGCUUAUCAGCUUGUUGGUGGGGUAGUGGCUUACCAAGGCUUUGACGGGUAGCCGGCCUGAGAGGGUGACCGGCCACAUUGGGACUGAGAUACGGCCCAGACUCCUACGGGAGGCAGCAGUGGGGAAUAUUGCACAAUGGGCGGAAGCCUGAUGCAGCAACGCCGCGUGCGGGAUGACGGCCCUCGGGUUGUAAACCGCUUUCGCCUGUGACGAAGCGUGAGUGACGGUAAUGGGUAAAGAAGCACCGGCUAACUACGUGCCAGCAGCCGCGGUGAUACGUAGGGUGCGAGCGUUGUCCGGAUUUAUUGGGCGUAAAGGGCUCGUAGGUGGUUGAUCGCGUCGGAAGUGUAAUCUUGGGGCUUAACCCUGAGCGUGCUUUCGAUACGGGUUGACUUGAGGAAGGUAGGGGAGAAUGGAAUUCCUGGUGGAGCGGUGGAAUGCGCAGAUAUCAGGAGGAACACCAGUGGCGAAGGCGGUUCUCUGGGCCUUUCCUGACGCUGAGGAGCGAAAGCGUGGGGAGCGAACAGGCUUAGAUACCCUGGUAGUCCACGCUGUAAACGGUGGGUACUAGGUGUGGGGUCCAUUCCACGGGUUCCGUGCCGUAGCUAACGCUUUAAGUACCCCGCCUGGGGAGUACGGCCGCAAGGCUAAAACUCAAAGGAAUUGACGGGGCCCCGCACAAGCGGCGGAGCAUGCGGAUUAAUUCGAUGCAACGCGUAGAACCUUACCUGGGUUUGACAUGGAUCGGGAGCGCUCAGAGAUGGGUGUGCCUCUUUUGGGGUCGGUUCACAGGUGGUGCAUGGCUGUCGUCAGCUCGUGUCGUGAGAUGUUGGGUUAAGUCCCGCAACGAGCGCAACCCUUGUUCACUGUUGCCAGCACGUUAUGGUGGGGACUCAGUGGAGACCGCCGGGGUCAACUCGGAGGAAGGUGGGGAUGACGUCAAGUCAUCAUGCCCCUUAUGUCCAGGGCUUCACGCAUGCUACAAUGGCUGGUACAGAGAGUGGCGAGCCUGUGAGGGUGAGCGAAUCUCGGAAAGCCGGUCUCAGUUCGGAUUGGGGUCUGCAACUCGACCUCAUGAAGUCGGAGUCGCUAGUAAUCGCAGAUCAGCAACGCUGCGGUGAAUACGUUCCCGGGGCU
rnacentral:rRNA from 1 species